AUAAAAUCUGAAGAAAGAUUCAUUUCGAAAAGGAGAAAAGAAAGGAAAAAAUUGGUUAAAAAGCAAACAAAGAAUUGAGUGUAGCGACCUCGGGUGGUAGUUUGUAGCAAACUUUUUAUCUUCAUUUUUUGGGAUUUCUCUUCUGCUUUAUAAUGAAUUGUUCAUACUUUUGUGAUCAUUUCCAGUGAAAGUUUAAGAUGUUUCAUCCAAUUAUUUGGUUGCUGCUCUCAAUUGUGGCUCCUUUUGGCUUGGCCCAUGGAACACCGCUAACCACUUUAACUUCAUUAUCAUCUUCAUCAAGUAACUCCAUUGAUUUGACCAAUGUUUUUGACAAAUGUUUAAGUAUACAUGAACAAGUCACAUUAUCUUCUCAAAUACAAUUGUCACCUCUUUUAUCGUGUGAUCGAGAUCUCUUUAAAGUUGUACUCGACAACACCAGAAUCACGGGUCUCAACAAAUAUCUGAUAACCCCAUUCAAAAGGGUCAACAAAGAUAAAUAUGAAGCAACUAUGAGCAUCGAAGGAAUAAAAGUUGAAUCAAAUUACCAUAUUAAUGGACCCGUUGCCCACAUGUUUCCAGUUAGUGGGGAAGGUACACUAGAGAUGGAUUAUGUUAACAUUACAAUUGACUUGGGUGUCAAGAAAUCAUCUGAAUCAGACAACUUAGUAAACAUUUAUGCUGAAAAGAUAGAUUUUCAUAAUCAUGGCUACGAGGUAAUCAAUGGUAAACAAACAGUGGACAAUAAAGCUGAUCAUUUGGAUAAAGGUUUCCAAGAGUCGCUGGGCAAAGUCAUUUUUUGGCAAAUCUUUAAAGCUCUAAAGGUGGACCCAUCUUUCAAUGUAUCAGUAAAAUGUCUCGAGGAUUCAAUACAAUCAGAUCAAUUGUUGAAUACGCUGAGUUACAAUGAUUUGCCUAGAAAUAAUGUCCAUCAUGCCUCUGAAAUAGUUGCCAUGAAAUCCCACCAUUCCUCAGUUUACUCAGUUGAAAGCCAUUCAAGAGCUAAAAGAGACGUCUCUCCUCAGUUACCUAACAUUCCAGAAAUUGAAACCACAGAAGCACAUUGGUAUAAAAAAGCUCAAGAAUCUUUAGACGCAACCAUGAAUAUCAAGAAAUUAAACAAAAAUGCCAAAAAUGUUAUUCUAUUCAUUGGUGAUGGAAUGGGAAUUUCAACACUUUCUGCUGCACGAGUUUUGAAAGAACAAUUAAAUGGAUUACCUGGUGGAUCUAAUAGAUUAUUUUUCGAAGAAUUCCCUCAAUCAGCUUUAAUCAAGACUUUCAACCUUGACAGACAAACACCCGAUUCAGCUGGUACAGCAACAGCAUUCACCUGUGGGAUCAAGGCUAAUUAUGCAACUCUUGGUGUAUCCGGAAGAAUAUUCAAAAGCGAAAAAGAUUGCUCUGUUAUUGCAGCCAACGCAGUUCCAUCUAUUUUCACUUGGGCACAAGCUGCAGGUAAAGGAACUGGAAUUGUAACUACAACUCGAAUCACACACGCCACUCCAGCGGCUGGCUAUGCUCAUGUUUCUAAUCGUGACUGGGAAAGUGACACUGAUGUUGCUAAGUUUGGAGCCAGUUGUAAAGAUAUUGCUCGUCAAUUGGUUGAAGAUGCUCCAGGUAACAAGCUGAAUGUAAUCAUGGGAGGAGGAUGGAAACACUUUGCUGGUUCAAAUGUAUCUGAUCCCACUCCUUCAGCUGGAGCUGCAGGCGGUCGAACCGAUGGUGUUAACCUUAUUGAUCGCUGGAUUUCUGAUAGAGAAGCUCGUUCGGCGAACUGGUCCUUUGUUACUUCAACCAAAGACCUUAGAUCAGUUGAUACUGCAAAAACUGAUUACUUAUUUGGUCUUUUCAAUCGUGAUCAUUUACCAUAUGAGUUAGAACGUAAUAAAUCACCAGAAGGCUCACCAAGCUUAGCUGAAAUGGUUGAAUCAGCUGUCAAUGUUUUAUCCAAACAUGACAAUGGAUUUGUGUUGCUUGUUGAAGGUGGUCUUGUGGAUAUUGCUCACCAUGAUAAUUAUGCUCGACUUUCACUUCAUGAAGUAUUAGGUUUGGAAGCUGCUAUUCAAAAAGCAACUGAACUUCUUCCUUUAGAUGAAACCUUAAUCAUUGUAACCGCUGACCAUUCUCAUGGAUUUGUCAUGAAUGGUUAUCCAUUGCGUGGUAAUGACAUUUUUGGAGUCUCUGAUACCAAAGAGGAUGGAGUUAAUAAAACCUUUUCAACCCUUAUGUACACCACUGGACCUGGUCAUGUUGAGCCUCGGCCUGAUGAGGCUAAAGUUACAAGCAGAGAUAACCCACGAUAUCGAUUCUAUUCUGCCAUCAAUUUGUCCUCAGCUGUUCAUGGAGGUGAAGAUGUUGCCUUGUACAGUGUUGGACCAAUGUCACAUUUAUUCAAUGGACUUCAAGAUCAAUCAUAUAUUGCUCAUGUAAUUGCCUAUUCAUCCUGUAUUGGUGAAUAUGCCUCUACCGAAAGGUGCAAAAAUCAAUUGAAAAGUGCAGCUCCAGAUUCAGAUGAAAUAAAACUGUUCAUUACUGUAAAUCAAGUGAAUUAAAAAAGAUUUAGCAAAUUAUAUAAUAAAACCUCCAAAAUCAAGAUUCAUCAAAACUUCAAAUAAUCCAAUUGAGUCGUGAACAAGAUUGAUUAAAGCUAAAUAAUUGACGCUUAUUUUUAAUCAUGAGGCUGCCAUCGAAGCAAAUCUCAAAGAAUUUCUAUUUUUACUAUUAAGAUAUUAUUUUAAUAAUUAUACCUCUAUGAACUUCAGUUGUUUGUAACUAUCGGACAAUCAUAAGAAACAUUAAGAUUAUAUUUUAUACAUUUUUUUACACA